GAUGAACGCUGGCGGCGUGCCUAAUACAUGCAAGUCGAGCGAACAGAUAAGGAGCUUGCUCCUUUGACGUUAGCGGCGGACGGGUGAGUAACACGUGGGUAACCUAUCUAUAAGACUGGAAUAACUCCGGGAAACCGGGGCUAAUGCCGGAUAACAUGUUGAACCGCAUGGUUCUACAGUGAAAGGCGGCUUUGCUGUCACUUAUAGAUGGACCCGCGCCGUAUUAGCUAGUUGGUGAGGUAACGGCUCACCAAGGCAACGAUACGUAGCCGACCUGAGAGGGUGAUCGGCCACACUGGAACUGAGACACGGUCCAGACUCCUACGGGAGGCAGCAGUAGGGAAUCUGCCGCAAUGGGCGAAAGCCUGACGGAGCAACGCCGCGUGAGUGAUGAAGGUCUUCGGAUCGUAAAACUCUGUUAUUAGGGAAGAACAAAUGCGUAAGUAACUGUGCGCGUCUUGACGGUACCUAAUCAGAAAGCCACGGCUAACUACGUG
rnacentral:rRNA from 1 species